rnacentral:rRNA from 1 species
UACGUAGGGGGCAAGCGUUGUCCGGAUUUAUUGGGCGUAAAGAGCGUGUAGGCGGUUUGGUAGGUCCGCUGUGAAAACUCGAGGCUCAACCUCGAGACGCCGAUGGAAACCAUCAGACUAGAGUCCGGAAGAGGAGAGUGGAAUUCCUGGUGUAGCGGUGAAAUGCGCAGAUAUCAGGAAGAAUACCGAUGGCGAAGGCAGGUCUCUGGGCUGACACUGACGCUCAUGCACGAAAGCGUGGGGAGCAAACAGG